rnacentral:rRNA from 1 species
AUUGAACGCUGGCGGCAGGCUUAACACAUGCAAGUCGAGCGGGGAGAUGUAGCUUGCUCCAUAUCCUCGCGGCCGACGGGUGAGUAAUGCUUAGGAAUCUGCCUAUUAUUUGGGGACAGCAUUCCGAAAGGAAUGCUAAUACCACAUCCGCUCUACGAGGGAAAGCAGGGGAUCUUCGGAGCUAGCGCUAAUAGAUGUGCCUAAGACGGAUUAGCUAGUUGGUGGGGUAAAGGCCUACCAAGGCGACGAUCUGUAGCGGGUCUGAGAGGAUGAUCCGCCACACUGGGACUGAGACACGGCCCAGACUCCUACGGGAGGCAGCAGUGGGGAAUAUUGGACAAUGGGCGCAAGCCUGAUCCAGCCAUGCCGCGUGUGUGAAGAAGGCCUUUUGGUUGUAAAGCACUUUAAGCGAGGAGGAGGCUCCUUUAGUUAAUACCUAAAGAGAGUGGACGUUACUCGCAGAAUAAGCACCGGCUAACUCUGUG